UCACUCUNAGGNCGGACUGCCGGUNANAAACCGGAGGAAGGUGGGGAUGACGUCAGAUCAUCAUGCCCCUUAUGACCUGGGCUACACACGUGCUACAAUGGAUGGUACAACGAGUUGCGAGUCGGNGANGNUUAGCUAAUCUCUUAAAGCCNNUCUCAGUUCGGAUUGUAGGCUGCAACUCGCCUACAUGAAGUCGGAAUCGCUAGUAAUCGCGAAUCAGCANGUCGCGGUGAAUACGUUCCCGGGCCUUGUACACACCGCCCGUCACACCAUGAGAGUUUGUAACACCCAAAGUCGGUGAGGUAACCNUNNGGAGCCAGCCGCCUAAGGUGGGANAGAUGAUUGGGGUGAAGUCGUAAAGGGUUAACCGUAAA
rnacentral:rRNA from 1 species